UGCGAAGCAACAAACAGAGGAAAGAUUUGGCCUAUAAGAUGUGACCAUGGAGGUAGAGAGGAGAACUUUAUAGGCACGCUUAACGCUUCCCUCAUCAAAUUAACUUUACAUGUAUAUAUGAUCAUACUUCAUAAGAAAGAAUAGUUCAAUGGUCACAUCAAAAUUCAAAGGCAAUGAUGCACACCUGUCGAUGAGCUGUUUUGGGUGUCCCAAAUUAUUGUGAGGGUACCAUGCAUCUCAACUUUCUUCUUACGUACAACCAUUUACUUGUCCUUUUAUCUAUAUCAAAAAUUUCGGUUAGAUCAAUAAAGGUUUUAAUUGUACUCUCUACUCUUUUAUUGUUUGUGGGUAUUAUUAUUAUUUAAGAACUAAUAGUAUUGCCUUUUUUUUUUACCAUAUAAUAGC
rnacentral:lncRNA from 1 species